CAUUAAAAUUCAAAUUUUACGAACCAAAAGCUAGACCUGAUCCAGGCUAUGAAAAACUUCGUUAAUUAAGAAGUGAGUCGACAUUAAUUUGCGAGUCAAAUAAGACAAAAUGACUGAAGAAAAAGAAAUGAAAGAUGAGAAAGUUCAAGAAUUUAAACUAGAUGCAGAAUCAGAACUAAGAUUUGAGGUAGAGGGAAAAGAAAAGGUGACAGUAGAGUUGAAAUCGGGAACAGCAGAAAUUUUUGGAACAGAAUUAGUCAAGAGUAAGAAAUACACGUUUACUUCUGGAUCCAAGAAAGCAGUUUAUACUUGGCAUGGAUGUACAAUAGAACUUAGAGGCAAGUGUGAAGUAGCUUAUGUAGCAAAAGAAACACCAAUGAUUUUUUAUGCUAAUAUUCAUGCAGCAUUGGAACAACAGCGUAGAAAGGCUGAGGAAGAAGAUACCAAAGGACCAACACUUUUGAUUGUGGGACCCACAGACGUAGGGAAGAGUACUUUAUGUAGGAUUCUUCUGAAUUAUGCUGUUCGUCAAGGGAGGAGACCCAUUUUUGUAGAUUUAGAUGUUGGCCAGGGGCAGACAUCUAUACCAGGAACUGUAGGUGCUCUCUUAGUGGAAAGACCAGCAGAUGUUGAGGAAGGAUUCUCUCAACAAGCUCCUUUGGUUUAUCAUUAUGGCCAUAAAAGUCCAGGGAACAACAUUACACUAUACAAUAUGUUAGUUUCCAGAAUAGCUGAAGUUAUCAGUCUACGAGCAGAGAGUAAUAAAAAAGCAAGUGUUAGUGGUGUUAUCAUCAACACGUGUGGGUGGGUGAAGAAUGAAGGUUACCAAGCAAUAACACAUGCAGCACUUGCUUUUGAAGGACAGAAGGAAGACUGCCACUGAUCUCAAGCACGAGAAAAAUGACCAUGUACAACUGUUCAUUGAUACCCCCACACUGAUAAGUCGAUAUCAUCUUAGUAAUUGAUCAGGAAAGAUUGUAUAAUGAGUUGGAGCGUGACAUGCCUCCUUUUGUCAGGAUUGUUUCUGUCCCAA
rnacentral:misc_RNA from 1 species